rnacentral:rRNA from 1 species
UACGAAGGGGGCUAGCGUUGUUCGGAAUUACUGGGCGUAAAGCGCACGUAGGCGGAUAUUUAAGUCAGGGGUGAAAUCCCGGGGCUCAACCCCGGAACUGCCUUUGAUACUGGGUAUCUCGAGUCCGAGAGAGGUGAGUGGAAUUCCGAGUGUAGAGGUGAAAUUCGUAGAUAUCCGGAGGAACACCGGUGGCGAAGGCGGCUUCCUGGACCGACUCUGACGCUGAGGCGCGAAAGCUAGGGGAGCAAACGGG